rnacentral:misc_RNA from 1 species
AUGUCUAAUGAAAUUGAAAGGCUGAAGGCUACUGAUGCUGGUCGAUUGCGGGUUGAGUAUAAUCGUCUAGUUGAGGGUCUAGCUCAAAGACUGCCCGCUCAGGAUGUAUGGCUUGCUAAUCCCGCCUUGCCUGAUGACAUCAUGAAGGAGGCAGUGCCAGGAAAUAUAAGGAAAGCAGAGCAUUUCUUGUCUGUUUUGCGAAGAUUUGUCCAGUAUCUUAAUGGGCGUCUG